rnacentral:rRNA from 1 species
GCCGCCGAAGGUGGGGCCAAUGAUUGGGGUGAAGUCGUAACAAGGUAGCCGUAUCGGAAGGUGCGGCUGGAUCACCUCCUUUCUAAGGA